GGUGAUUAUGAAGACCAAAUGAUACCCACUUAUCCUAAUAAAGGUAUGGUAUAUAACAUGCUUGGUUAUGCAAUAAUCCAAGUCCAAUGUCAUUUAAUCUUGAAAUUGAGAUGAAUCAAAAAUAUAUAUCUGCAGUAAUAACGGAUAUAUCUAAGGUGGAGGAACCGAGUAGGCAGAGAUACGAUUAGUUGUAAUGAAAAGGUGUAUAUUUCUUUUAUUAAGCGAUGAAAUUAGCUAGUUACUUUAUUGUUG
rnacentral:misc_RNA from 1 species